rnacentral:rRNA from 1 species
CCUGGCGGCGUGCUUACACAUGCAGUCGAGCGGUAAGGCUCCUUCGGGAGUACACGAGCGGCGAACGGGUGAGUAACACGUGAGCAAUCUGCCCUUCACUUCGAGAUAACUCCGGGAAACCGGUGCUAAUACCGAAUACGACCACUUCAGGCAUCUGAUGGUGGUGGAAAGUUCCGGCGGUGAAGGAUGAGCUCGCGGCCUAUCAGCUUGUUGGUGAGGUAACGGCCCACCAAGGCAACGACGGGUAGCCGGCCUGAGAGGGUGACCGGCCACACUGGGACUGAGACACGGCCCAGACUCCUACGGGAGGCAGCAGUGGGGAAUAUUGGACAAUGGGCGAAAGCCUGAUCCAGCAACGCCGCGUGAGGGAUGACGGCCUUCGGGUUGUAAACCUCUUUCAGCGGGGACGAAGCGCAAGUGACGGUACCCGCAGAAGAAGCACCGGCCAACUACGUGCCGGCAGCCGCGGUAAU